rnacentral:lncRNA from 1 species
GGGGAAGCAGAGGCCAUCUCUGAGUGGAAGAACCCAAGGAAGGAAAAUCAUUUUCAAUGUUCUUAACACCCAUUGAACCAAAGCAAAUGGAAAUUUCUCAGGACAUUCAAAUUGUAUCCAUUCAAAUUAUAGAAACAGGCUACUCCAUACCAAUCACAGGAUGAUUUAUCACACAUUCACUCAAUAUGGAACAUUUACUAGUGACCAGUUUCCUGUAACAACAGAUUCAUUUGGAAACUGCACACUGCAAAAGGCAAUCUUGUGACUUUCUUCUAGUUUAUCAAAAAUACAAAUCAGUCUGGGAGUCAGGCACAAACAGUGGUACAAAAGCAUGAAGAGAAAUACCUUAUCUAAGAAUGUGCUCGUUUCAUAUUGCAGAACCCCUAUCUAGAUUCUGGUUUUUGGAAGCCUGCUGCUGGUUCUUUUGCUCAGAAAGGUUCCUUCACUACACCUCUCUCCCACUCCCACCUCCCCUUACUAAAAUUCACUGAACGGGAAACACUCAGUAUGGACCUACGUGGAACUAAAAGCCCCAAUUUAAUUGAAUCUCAUGUGUCAGCACAGUGGCUGCUGGUUUAAUCUGCUCAGCCAGCCUCGUGUAUCUAGGGACUUUUUGGAUCAGAAUUUGAGCCGGAAGCGCCCAACACUUCAUCUUUGGGAAUCCAAUAAAAUCUCUGACGUACAACUAGAAGUCCCAUGAACAAGAAUCUCCAGUUCCAGUUAAUGAGAUUCAAGGGCGGGAGCAGCAGGAAGAGCUGGGGCGGGGGCAGGAGACGGGCCACGAACCAGAUGUGUGCUUCUCUUUCCUCACUUGUAAGUGAGGGGGCUGAACUCGCGGAGCUCCGGGGUCCUGCCCAGCAGCCGCUCUAGGACUCCCUCCUCAAGUCCAUCUCUACACAGGCUCGUCAAGCUGGGUCAGACAAAACUUCCUCACCACUUUGUCUCAACAGUUUAAAGUGGUUGUAAAAUACUUCUAUGCUGCAGUCUGAGGUCUCCCUCUCUCCCCUACCCCUCAAAGACCAGGUUUCAUUUCACUGGUGCAGACCACCUGGCCAAACUGGUGGCUGCUGAGGUUUAAAAGUGAAUCACUGGCCUGGUUAAGAUGAUGGCCUUUGAGUAACCUAGACCAGGGCACAUGUGUCUGUUUUUCAUGAACAGUGUUAACCAAAUAGCAAUAGAAUUCUGUUAGUUCUUCUAUAGAUCUACUUUGCAACAUGAGAUUGUUCAAAAAUUACAUGAGAAAAUCACCCAUCACCACUAAGUUAAAGACUUGAGUAUCUGAGACCUCCAGAGCCUCGAACUCCUGCUACAGUCACUGAUCCACAGCACGUCCCUCUCGGCAACGGGCUCCAUGCGAGCGCAGCCCGGUCCGGCAGCAGAUCUGUGUACCGAGACGCUGAUUUUGAAAGAUCUGGCUCUAGUCAUCACUGUCACUGCCAGACUCACUCAACUGCAAGUCAUUUCCUACAAAACAAAAACCACAGAAUCACACCAAAAGUGCGCAAUUUAAAAAUGACUUCCCCACAAUUCUUUGUUUCACCGCCUUGGUUAUCGCCCUAUAGUAAAACAAGCCAAUUCAACUUAAUUAGGGAGGAAAACCGAUUUGGCUCAGUGACAAAACUGACGCAGUCAACGUUUUUAAAGAAAUGCUAUUCUUGAUAUCUGCAAAGCACAGCGAUGCUACGUACUAGGAUAGAACAGGGGGAAGCAGGCCAGACAGCUUUUAAAUGUGUUAAUAAAUAGCAAAAAAGUAUAAAUAACCGAUUCACCAUCUAGAAUCGUUCACAUGAAGUUGCUAAAAUAACACCGAGUUAGGCUUCCCGUCAAGGAAGCCGAAUACUGUUUAUACCAGUAACCUGCUAAUCCAGCAUCCCCUCCUGUUCAGUUACUUUAAACCUCAACUCUCAACUGAAGAGCUUCAAUUACUUUAGCCUCAGAUUUUUGUUUAGUGUGCAGAAUUCAGGUGUUAGGAGUAAAGAAUAGAAGUGCUCAGCGUUUUAAUCCGAUAGAGUAACAGGACCCAGUUGAUAGCACUCAGAUUAUAGCAAAAGUGAACCGCUAUACGACUGGAUUGCUACUCCUAGACCAGCCCUUCUCAGUUUGUGUGGAGGACCCCGGGGUCCUUGAGACCCUUUCAGGAGGGUACUUCCUCUUCUAACUACACACCUGUGUGAGGCCAGAUUUUCUUCAUAUACAUCAACCUAGACAACUUAUGGCAACAGACUGAACCCAGGUUUCCACUAAGCUAGAUCGUAAAGAGAUUUGCGAAAUUUUAAAGCAAUGUUACUCUCUUACUAAGUAUUUUUUGAUUGGAAAAAUUUGUUUUUCAUAAAAAUGAUACUUUUGCUAACAUGUGACAGUUUAUUAUGUUAUUUUAAAUGAAUUACUGGAUAAUUUAAAUAUUUCAGUUUUAAUUUCUAAUGGUAAUAUUGAGUGGAUAUAAGCCACAUACACAAAGCUCUUUGGGGUGCUCAAUAAUUGUUACAAUUAAGAGGUCUGACACCCAAGAAUGGAACAACUACCGUUCUAAACUUAAGGAAGGCAACAGGGGCCUGGCAAGAGCUGGUAACUCCCAAUCAGCUAAGUUGAGCACGAUCUCUUAAAAAGUAAGAUGAUGUGCUUUAACAGAUCAGUGGAACUGGAGCUGGAAACCUAGUUUUGAAAUUGCUUAUAUAAAGUUAAGGUCUUGCCACUUGAAGAGCUGCAGAUCAGGAUGACUUGGUGCGCAAUAAAGAGCUAAAAGGAUUUUAAGGUACUGGUAAGCAGAUAACACCCACUGUGCCUUUUUUUUUUUUUGCUCUUUCUUUCUAGGAGGAAAGAAUAAUUUGGCAUUGACUGGGCAAACUCGAGAACUGAGUCAAAGCCACAGUAGCUAUCUGGCACUAUUCCACUAGGAAUACCAAAUUCCCGGGGCGCCUGGGUGGCGCAGUCGGUUAAGCGUCCGACUUCAGCCAGGUCACGAUCUCGCGGUCCGUGAGUUCGAGCCCCGCGUCGGGCUCUGGGCUGAUGGCUCAGAGCCUGGAGCCUGUUUCCGAUUCUGUGUCUCCCUCUCUCUCUGCCCCUCCCCCGUUCAUGCUCUGUCUCUCUCUGUCCCCCAAAAAAUAAAUAAACGUUGAAAAAAAAAAUUUUUUAAAAAAAGGAAUACCAAAUUCCCAAUAUGAAAUUUACUACUCCUGGCCAACUGAGAAUAGCACCAAAGCAUCCCCUGACAUCCAGAAUGUAGGCCCAGAAAAUGGGAUAGCAGACAAUAUCCUCAACUGAUAUCCUAACAGUGUUCAACUCACUCAAGUAGCGUUUCUCCACCAGGAGUGGUCUUGCCCCCCAGAGGGUAUCUGGCAAUGUCUUGAGAUAUUUGGGGUUGACACAACUGGGGACAAGGGAGAGAGAAGGGCAUCUACCGGGUAGAGGCCAGGAAUGCUCUUAGUCAUCCUGCAAUGCACUGGACAGCCCCCAUGACAAAGAUUUAUCUGCCCCACAAUGUCUGUAGUGGUGAAGUUGAGAAUUACCUUCGCCUGGUCCACUGUAGUAGGGUUAACUAGGUUAGCUUACCAACUAUUGCCUCCAGACCUUCCAACCUCCUCAAAGGCAGUCAUGCCAGAUGAAAGCAUUCAUUAGGAUACUGGAGAGAGAAGGGCAUAGGGAGCAAGCACUCUCCCCAUCUCCAAUACGAAGAAAUCUGUUUUUGUUCUUGUUUUUCUCUCCUUUACUUUAGUAUCAACUGCACGGAGAGCCACCCAGAUAUAGCAAUGUCCUUCCUCUUCCUCUUGCCAAAGGCUAGUUGGUUUCCAAAUAUACACUAAUGGCUCAGGUUCCAAAGUCUAUGGGCUGCAGGACACCAGUCUGGACAACUGUGUUCUUGGGAACUGUAAAAAGACCUAGAAGCAGGGGACACUAUAGUGGAGGGCAUCGCCCCUAAAGCCUGUAAAGCCUGGUAAAUGCAAAAACAAAGAGCCGAGCUGUUCAUGUUUCAGCAUUUUCGAGAAUUCACAAAAACUAAUUUGUGCCAGUGGGUGAAAAAAAAAGAACAGAUUUUCUAGUUUUGUGCUUCCCCAACACCCCCGCCCCUUUUAUUUUUUUUAACUGUUUGGUAACUUCUUCCUGCUCCAAAUUUUGUCAGGAUGCUUUCUUAUGCCUUAAAUAUCUUCUGGUUUACAGACUCGGGUGUAAGAUAUAUAGAAGCUGCAUCUCUAGUCUGACAUGCCACGCCUCUCUGAGCCAGAAAAGGGAGAGCACACUUACUGAGGGUGUUCAUGAGCUGGUUGCUUCCUUGUGGCCGGCUGGUUCCAUUGGCAACGGCCGGCCUGCUGUUGUAGGGCUGCUGGUGUGCAGGCUGUGGAGGAGACGCCGGACCGUUGUCCUCACCCUCGCUGCUGGAGCUGUCAUCAUCGCUUCCCGACGAGCUCUCAGAGUCUGAGGAACUGCUCCCACUGCUGCUGCUCAUCUGCUCAAUAAUGUCAACUUCAGCCCUCAGCUCUGGAAUAAAAUGACACGACAGGGGUUAGCCAGCAACCACUCUCAAGGCCGCAAGCUGCCUUCUGUAAAUAGUGAAUUGGCAAAACCAACAGCAAUGAGGAAUGACUAAAAUUCCUGCUUCUUAUUCCUUAAAAAUGUAUAAACAAAACGACUAAGACCAAAAUGAACAAAAUAAAACUGUCUUCAGAGAGACAGCGGAAACAUUAACUUCACCCCAAAUAACAAAAAAGAAAACUGUUUCAGAUAAUGAUGGUUCUGUGUAAAUUAAGCCUAUUUGCCUUAUCUACUUAAAAAAACAAAUACUGUGAAUUAUGGGAUUAAACACCAAAUAAGAGAGAUAUUAUGCUAAAGGGUUGAAAAAUAUUUGACUAGGGAUUGGAAGAUCUGGGUGCUUGUUUUGGAUCUGCCUCUAACCAGCAGUGAGACCGAGGUGGGAGUCAAUUAUUUUUUUCCAAGACACUUUGAAAAAAUAAAAGGCCACAGCAGACAGCCUCUGAGGUCCUUUUCAGCUUUCCUGUCCCACAAAGGAACUGAGGCAUGCAGGAGGAACCAUGGUAACGGAAGGAAAAUGGGGAAACAACAUGCCUCCUCUGCCCUCUGUAUAUAUUUCACUGACAGCCAUGCCUGCCAGGUAUUACAUUUUUUUUAUAGACGUACAGCAGCGAACGAAAAACAUGUUUACCUAACCCUUUCAAUGUCGGUGAAUACAUUAAGGAUACCUCAUAGGAUACAUCAAGAAAGAUGCCAGAUUUUCCUGUCCAAACAUACCAUGUGAUUUUAAACACGCAUUUUAGGCGUAACUGUCAAUCACUAACCACUCAUAGUCCAAUUCUUGUUCAACUAAAGUGAAAACUUUAACAAAUAGCAUUCCAAUAUCCCUGAGGAAAAUCAAAAUCAAGAACAAAAACAAAACAGGAGGCUUAAUAAGCGUGCACCACGCAGAGAAUGAUUGUUUACUGAAAGCACUUCUAUGAGGCAGAAGAGGCAAACUCCUCAAGUACAACUCUAUCUUUCCCUGUUUACUACUGCUACAGAUUUCAUUGUGUUUCAUAAAACUUUAUAAAUCUGAAAUACGACAGCCUCGUAACUUCCUGAGAGUCUGGACAACGAAAACCACCCCCUCCCUGUAUGAGGAGAAAGCCAAAGUGAGAACCCGACCAGACCUCUAGGUCUUUCUAGGCCAUGUCCAUUUCCAGGUCCCAUGGCACUCUCAUGUUUACACACUUUGUUAGUACAAAGCAAUGGUCCUGGUAUUUUAAAUAUCCCUCUAACCUAGAUACUAUACUAACACUGACACACCUGGUUUUUACCCCAACACCUUGGAAUUCUCUUCUCCCAAAACCUUAAAGGCACAGCAUAUAGACUUUUGGAUGACAGUCAUGCUUGUUUAAAUCCUGGGCCUCUGAACAGAAAGCUGCAAAGACAGCCACAACUCAAGUCACUUGCCUGGACCUCCCUUGUCAAACGAGAGAAGUGGUAACAGUCCCACCUCCGUCACCUCUGGAAUGGUGAACUCUGCAGAUUAUUUUUUCAAUGGCAGAGAAUGCCCAUGCCACCAGUGCCCAUGUGAUGUCAACAUGAUAGCCUUGUGAUCGCCACAAAAGCCUCAACACCCAAUUCCCAGUGGCUAUCAGUUCCAGAAAAUGCUCCCUACCUCUUUUGAUGUCAUCCAGCUGAGGUUCAGGUGAAGGGUUAUCUUUCAAAGGAGAAGUUUUGGGUCCAACUGGAGGCUUUGUCGGAGCUCUGAAUGGCAGAGGUGGUGGAGGUGGUGGCGGCUGAGAUGGCUGUGGGGGACGAGUGGGCUGCUGUUCCAUUCGGGCUUGGAUUUUACUGCUCCCCUCAGCUCUAAAAUGAAAAACAGACAUUAAAUUGCAGGGCCAAAAACAGUGCUCCUCAAAUCUGUUCAGGUAACCAAGUACCUAGAGGUCUCUGCACAAUCGUGCUUCUCUACACACUACUUCAAAAUACUGAUGUUUGUCACUUUAUCCCAUGAACUACUCACUCAACAACUGCCUACUGCAUUCCGGUACUGCACUACGCACCAGAGAUACAAAGAUGAAUAAAACAGCCCUCAAGAAGCUCACAUUUUAUAACAAGCAAAUAAAACCGAUAUGCAGGACACAACGUGAUCGUGAGAACCCAUUUUACCAGCAGACAAUAGGACUACUUGACUUGUAUACGGUAUAAAGUUAUAGUCACAAGUAUAUGAGUUACUACAAAAAACCAGCUCUUGAAAUGCUGGCUAGUUUGCAAGUUUUCCCACGAUCUGUUUACUGCCUGUUCAUCUUGUCACACGCCAGCUCUUGCAGGCGGACAAGCAAAGCAUCCCACCCCAACGGGAGAAAAUUCUAUUCACUAACAAUUUCUUUUGUAAACGGAUGAGCCCACUUUCGGCUUUUGAACUUUGGUGGGCACACAAAUCGCCUGAGGAUCUCAUUAAAAUGCAGAUUCCAACUUAGCAGGUCCUGAAAUUCUGCACUGUAAAAAGCAUCCAAGUGAUCAAAUGCUGCUAGUCCAUAGAUGACAGCGAGUAGUGAGAGAAAUGCCCACAAACAUCAUCUGUUGGGGAAUUAACAGUGGCACCUGGUUCGGGGAGGUAAUUAAUACAAAUCUAUCCCAGGCAGGAGAGGAGCAGGGGGCUUGGACGUGCAUGCCCAGGCUAAGGGCUCUGUUCUGAUGCUGGACUCCGGUUCACAGGCUCAUGAAUCCGCAGUCUCUUCGUGUGUGUGUGUGUGUGUGUGUGUGUGUGUGUGUGUGUGUGGUUUUUUUGUUUGUUUGUUUUUACAGAUAACGAUAGUACCUUUCUAAAUGUUAUUUGUAAAGUUAGGUAGGAUAAUGCAUGAAAGCAUUUAGCAUAGUAUUCAGUAACCCCUCGAUAAAUGGUAGCUACUUUUUUUCUGGAAUGAGUAAAUGAAGAAGCAUAAACAGAAAAAUAUCAGGCUAUAACACUCUCUUUAAGAAUUUAGGGCUGUAUUGGGGCGCCUGGGUGGCUCAGUUGGUUGAGCGGCCGACUUCAGCUCAGGUCAUGAUCUCGCAGUCCGUGAGUUCGAGCCCCGCAUCAGGCUCUGUGCUGACAGCUCGGAGCCUGGAGCCUGUUUCAGAUUCUGUGUCUCCCUCUCUCUGACCCUCCCCCGUUCAUGCUCUGUCUCAAAAAUAAAUAAACGUUAAAAAAAAAAAAUUAAAAAAAAAAAGAAU